CGAAAUGCGAUAAGUAGUGUGAAUUGCAGACUUUAGUGAAUCAUCGAAUCUUUGAACGCACAUUGCGCCCCUUGGUAUUCCAUUGGGCAUGCCUGUUCGAGCGUCAUGUACCCCCUCAAGCCCCCCUCGGCUUGGUGUUGGGCGUCUGUCCGCGCGCGUCGGCGUCACGGCCGCGCGGACUCGCCUCAAAGGUAUCGGCAGCGGCCUCGAGGACCUCCUUCCGCGCAGCACAGCGCGCUUCCGGACCGGUUCCGACGGGCUCGCGUCCCCCAGGGACGAACCCCCCAAGCUUUGACCUCGAAUCAGGUAGGGAUACCCGCUGAACUUAAGC
rnacentral:misc_RNA from 1 species